GUGAGCGGCCGGGCGGGCCACCGGGUGCUCCGGAGGAAGUUCCUCCCCCGAGGGAUGCGUGCGCAACGCCUAGAGGCGUAUGGGGAGACCCAUGGCAACGCCGCAGAAACGAAACCUCCGCCGCACGAUGGCCAUGACUCGGUGAAAAGCCGUCGAGGAGUGCGGUGGACUGGUUGAAACGGGCGACCUGCGCCGGGAAAGGCCGCUGGGCUGUGAGCAGCCUCCCCGAGCUUGGCGGAAGCCGAUUAGACCAAUCCCGCCUAAACAGAAGGAGGGCUACGAGCCGCACAC
rnacentral:RNase_P_RNA from 1 species